UUUGCUCCACCACUAGUCCACAAAGCCUCAUCGUGUGCCAAUCAACGGGGUGGCAGUAGGGGCCUGGCAGUACGGCACGGUACGGACCUCGGAAUUCCGUGGCUUGCUCUGCCUCCUCCUUCUAUCCAAAGCAAAACAAGCAGCAAUUCACGGACCAGCAGUGCCCGCGUAGAAACGCAACAGCGGACUAGGCUUUCUUUAUCUCAAGAGAGUGGAAGACGCAACCGCUGAAGGCAGACGCAAUCCGUCAAAGGCUAAUCAGAAGGAAGGUCGCCGAGGACGAACCGUACGGCACGCGAUCUUUCUUCUAAUUUAACACGAUUUGAUUGAUGCAAACUCCGUGGUGAGGACGCCGGCGUCCGGCCGGCCGGUCAGCCGCCGUCGAGAUCAUUCGGCGGCGGAAUCGCAACAGAAAUGGCGGGUCCGGUCUGUUCGGUGCCAACUGCUGGCGGAGCGGCACGCACCUUGCAUGCACAACGGAUCGAUCAGCAUGAUCGGUGGCGCGUUCUGCUUACCUUCGUCUUCGCUAACCGUCGUCGGUUGGUGGGCAUCGCCAUGACGGCAUCUCGAUCCGGCACGUGCGGCGCCCUACCGAGCAAAAGCAUACGAGAAGACUUGUAGUUGCAGCUACGUACUUUCCCUAUGGGCCCAGGGCAAGGUGAUGAAUGAAAGUGGCAGCACUAGGAUCCAAGGGCGAACCAUGCGUGCAAGCGUGGCACACCACUGUCAUAUUUGGUUUGGAUGCAUGCUAAAGUGACAUUGAUGGGUUAUCUUGAAAAAUUAGUAGGUAAUUGCCUGGCCCUAUGUACCUCGAAAGGACCUCAUGUACGAACUCACUGUACCAGUAGUCACUUCCCUGGUAAAUAUUUUUCAUAGUCUUAGAUAAUGACGAAGCUCUUGGAGGCGCUAUCUCUGCAGGAGAAAAUUUUGGCCUGAGAACCGCCCCUGAACUUGGAGAAGAUGUCUGAAAUAUGCAAAGUCAAAGCAAAGCAACUAGCUCCAGCUGCAGCCUUCCCUGAGCAAAACCGGCAGGAAGUCUAGAAAUGGGAGAAUGAAGAGACGGUCAGCUUCUUUGAUUUCUUCAUAAGCCAGGCAGGUGUCGUCUUCCUGAAUUUUCAAGUUGCCAAGCUGAAACAGAAUACUUCCGUACUACUACUUUACUCAAAAAGCUAAUUAUUUGACUAGUGCAAACCAUGUACAGUGCUUCUUACUCUUCCAAGAUAAAGUAAAAUAUCUAGGAUAUCGUUGUUUGCUAUAAAGAUCGUAUGUUAUUUUGUUCCAGAAAUGUAGUGUACUAGGUCUGAAAACCAAGUAUCAUGGACCAUCAGUUAUGGAA